AACGAACGCUGGCGGCAUGCCUAACACAUGCAAGUCGAACGAGACCUUCGGGUCUAGUGGCGCACGGGUGCGUAACGCGUGGGAACCUGCCCUUAUGUUCGGAAUAACUCCCCGAAAGGGGUGCUAAUACCGGAUAAUGUCUUCGGACCAAAGAUUUAUCGCCUUUGGAUGGGCCCGCGUUGGAUUAGCUAGUUGGUAGGGUAAAAGCCUACCAAGGCGACGAUCCAUAGCUGGUCUGAGAGGAUGAUCAGCCACACUGGGACUGAGACACGGCCCAGACUCCUACGGGAGGCAGCAGUGGGGAAUAUUGGACAAUGGGCGAAAGCCUGAUCCAGCAAUGCCGCGUGAGUGAUGAAGGCCUUAGGGUUGUAAAGCUCUUUUAACCGGGAUGAUAAUGACAGUACCGGGAGAAUAAGCGCCGGCUAACUCCGUG
rnacentral:rRNA from 1 species